CCCAGACUCCUACGGGAGGCAGCAGUAAGGGAUAUUGGUCAAUGGGGGAAACCCUGAACCAGCAACGCCGCGUGAGGGAAGACGGUUUUCGGAUUGUAAACCUCUGUCCUCUGUGAAGAUGAUGACGGUAGCAGAGGAGGAAGCUCCGGCUAACUACGUGCCAGCAGCCGCGGUAAUACGUAGGGAGCGAGCGUUGUCCGGAUUUACUGGGUGUAAAGGGAGCGUAGGCGGCCUGCCAAGUCUGAUGUGAAAUACCGGGGCUCAACCCCGGGGCUGCAUUGGAAACUGGCAGGCUGGAGUGCCGGAGAGGCAAGCGGAAUUCCUAGUGUAGCGGUGAAAUGCGUAGAUAUUAGGAGGAACACCAGUGGCGAAGGCGGCUCGCUGGACAGUAACUGACGUUGAGGCUCGAAAGCGUGGGGAGCAAACAGGAUUAGAUACCCCGGUACU
rnacentral:rRNA from 1 species